CCUACGGGAGGCAGCAGUGAGGAAUAUUCCACAAUGGGGGAAACCCUGAUGGAGCGAUGCCGCGUGCAGGAAGACGCUUUUCGGAGUGUAAACUGCUUUUAACAGGGAAGAUUAUGACGGUACCUGUAGAAUAAGGACCGGCUAACUACGUGCCAGCAGCCGCGGUAAUACGUAGGGUCCAAGCGUUAUUCGGAAUUACUGGGCGUAAAGCGUUCGUAGGCGGUUUGGUAAGUUGGAUGUGAAAUCCUGUGGCUCAACCACAUGGACUGUGUCCAAAACUACCUGACUGGAGCAUAGUAGAGGCAAGUGGAAUUUGCGGUGUAGGAGUGACAUCCGUAGAUAUCGCAAGGAACACCAAUGGCGAAGGCAGCUUGCUGGGCUAUUGCUGACGCUGAGGAACGAAAGCGUGGGGAGCGAAACGGGGAUUAGAUACCCCCGGGUAGUCCACGCCGUAAACGAUGAUCACUAGCAGUAUGGAGAUUCGACCCUCUGUGUUGCACAGCUAACGCGUUAAAGUGAUCCGCCUGGGGGAGGUACGGCGCGAGACGUAAACGUAACGUAAAGUAAGUUAGACGUCGUUGAGACGUUGCGACGGACGACGACGAGGGAGGAGG
rnacentral:rRNA from 1 species